UACGAAGGGGGCUAGCGUUACUCGGAAUUACUGGGCGUAAAGGGCGCGUAGGCGGCGUUUCAAGUUAGGCGUGAAAGCCCUGGGCUCAACCUGGGGACUGCGCUUAAGACUGGAAUGCUUGAGGAUGGAAGAGGCUCGUGGAAUUCCCAGUGUAGAGGUGAAAUUCGUAGAUAUUGGGAAGAACACCGGUGGCGAAGGCGGCGAGCUGGUCCAUUACUGACGCUGAGGCGCGAUAGCGUGGGGAGCAAACAGG
rnacentral:rRNA from 1 species